GACGAACGCUGGCGGCGUGCUUAACACAUGCAAGUCGAACGGAAAGGCCCUGCUUUUGUGGGGUGCUCGAGUGGCGAACGGGUGAGUAACACGUGAGUAACCUGCCCUUGACUUUGGGAUAACUUCAGGAAACUGGGGCUAAUACCGGAUAGGAGCUCCUGCUGCAUGGUGGGGGUUGGAAAGUUUCGGCGGUUGGGGAUGGACUCGCGGCUUAUCAGCUUGUUGGUGGGGUAGUGGCUUACCAAGGCUUUGACGGGUAGCCGGCCUGAGAGGGUGACCGGCCACAUUGGGACUGAGAUACGGACCAGACUCCUACGGGGGGCAGCAGUGGGGAAUAUUGCACAAUGGGCGGAAGCCUGAUGCAGCAACGCCGCGUGCGGGAUGACGGCCUUCGGGUUGUAAACCGCUUUCGCCUGUGACGAAGCGUGAGUGACGGUAAUGGGUAAAGAAGCACCGGCUAACUACGUG
rnacentral:rRNA from 1 species